UCCCAAAGUGCUGUGAUCACAGGCAUGAGCCACCAUCCCCAGCCUACAUAACAACAAGUUUUAAAAAGCCACAUCGUCCUACAAUAUCCAUUUCUCUUGCAUAUUUAGGAAAUUGAGGUUUUUUUCUAAAACAUUCUUACGUAUGGGAAAUAGGAUACAAAAUGUGCAUGAGUGUUUUAGACACUGUUUGAGGUUUCCAGGAGAUUUUGUGCUGGGGAGGCUAAUUGCUACAAGCUCCCAAAGCUCUGGGAGGACAUAGUAUUCAUCCUCCCUCAGCAGAGGCCAUGAGGUGUGAAGCCCUGGGGAGCACCCGAGCCUUGGGCUUUUAGCAUAGAGUGUUCAGGUCUUUAUUGUUUGGGCCCAUGGCACAGAGACGUCCCAGGUCUCUGGCUUCCUGUGACCUUUGCUUUCCUUGCCAACAGAAAAUGUGACCCUCCAAAACAAGAAACUUGAGGGCAUGGAUCACCCCAGCCCUGGCAUCUGCCCAGAGCUUGAGAAGGAAGGAACAUUCUCCAGCUACCUCACAGGGCUGGCAUAGGCGGUCACUGCUCUGUGGAUCACCCAGCUGUGCCGGGCAACCUGAACCCCAUCUGCAGGAAUGUGAGGAGGAAAAUACAAAAGUCUUUAUGUCAGCCCUGAGACGGCAGAUGCAGCAGAAACCUCCAGGCAGUAACUAGCCAGUCUGGGACCUGUGGUGGAGAGAGAGCAUAUUGGCGAUCAUGUGUACUUACACUCUGGGGUCACCAGGUGGCACUAUGGCCUCAUCUGUGGCCCUGAAAAGGAAGAUUCAGAAGGAGGUCAUCACAGCUAAUGUUUAAAAAUCCCCUACUAUGUGCCAAAUCAUUCACCCCUGGCAACAACCUAAGGAGCUACGGAUUCUUAUUAUCUAUAUUUUAUAGCAAAGGAAAUGGAGACAUAAAGAGGUGAAUUAUCUUGCCCAAAUCACUCAGCUCAUAAGUGGUGGAGGCCGAAUAGGACCCAAACAAUGCGGCUGCAGAGCCCACAUGCAUUGUUUCCACAAGUGUUUAUUGAGCACCUGCCAUGUACAAGGCCUUGCGUGAUUAAAUAUGGUUAUGAUUAAUAAUAUAAAAAUGACAAAUCACUGACACUUUUUAGAGAUUUCAGGCACAGAACUGUAUAUGCAAUAAUAGUGAAAUUGAUCCUACUAGUUAUGACAGAAAUGAUGAUACAUUUAAAUGAGUUAGAUGUUUUAGAGGUAUUAUCUCAUGAAUCCUUGGCAGAAACUGAAUGAGGAAUGAAAUUUAUUGUUCCCAUUUCACACAGAAGGAAACUGAGGUGAAGAGGGGUAAAGUGAUUUUGCAUGGCAUGAAGUAGAAAUUCAAAGUACAGGAAUUUGAACUUGGUUCUGACCUUUUCUGAGUCCCCCAUGCUCUUGACCACUAUAGACUCAAGCAUCACCUUGUUUUUCCACUCAUUCAA